GACGAACGCUGGCGGCGUGCUUAACACAUGCAAGUCGAGCGGUAAGGCCCUUUCGGGGGUACACGAGCGGCGAACGGGUGAGUAACACGUGGGUGACCUGCCCUCAGCUCUGGGAUAAGCCCGGGAAACUGGGUCUAAUACUGGAUAUGACUCCAUGACGCAUGUUGUGGGGUGGAAAGCCUUGUGCGGCUGGGGAUGGGCCCGCGGCCUAUCAGCUUGUUGGUGGGGGGAUGGCCUACCAAGGCGACGACGGGUAGCCGGCCUGAGAGGGCGACCGGCCACACUGGGACUGAGACACGGCCCAGACUCCUACGGGAGGCAGCAGUGGGGAAUCUUGCGCAAUGGGCGAAAGCCUGACGCAGCGACGCCGCGUGAGGGAUGACGGCCUGG
rnacentral:rRNA from 1 species